ACAUAGGAAACAAAAGUACAGGGAGAACAAUCGAAAUAAGACAGAUUGUGAAAGUCCAGAUAGACACCGUUCAAAGAAAGCAAGGGUUCUGUUGUCGUCUUCAACCCACUCUGAUUGUACUGCAUCCAGAUUGCAGUCACCUUCAAGAUCAAUAAGCUCAUUCUCUGGGUCUGUUUCCCAUUCCAAGUUCAAAUCAGCAUCAUCCAGAAAAAAUUCCCCGUCCGCUCAUUCGUGGUCUUCAACAUCAUACCAUUCUGGAUCUAAACCCUUCAUGUCGAGGUUGACAUCAAGCUCAAACUCUCCUACAUCUUUGGCUUUACCGGUAGCACUCGAUAGAUGUUUUUCUUCGUCACCAAAUAAAAUGCAAACAGAUUACAGGGGAGACGAAAAACUGGCUAUGCAAUUGCUAAGUGUUUACAGCUAACUUAGAUUAUAUUGAUUCUCAGGUUCAAAUGUGAAAAAAUAAAAAAUUGGCUGAAUGAAAUACAAAAGAGCAUAAAGUUUCACUAAUGUUUUAUUUCGGUUUUUCAUUUUUGGAUUUAGAAAUCACGUUUUAUUUGUUUCUCUUGAGAAUCAGUGACCGGUGGUCACCAUAAUUGAUUAUUUUUAGCCCUACUUUCUGUUUCUACCAUCUCAUUGUUUUAACUCUGCACGUUUUGCGAGAAACAUUAAUUAUUAUUAGAAAGGAAUUUUGGGUUGUGAAUUCAAACUAGUAGCAAUUUUAUAUUCAAACAUGAAUUCAUUUGUUUCUCAUAUCCAAAGCCUGAAUCGCACAUUCCUGUUUAUGCCCAUCCGAAAGUUGUCCUGUUAGAAGCCGGAAAAAUUCAGACAAAUUUCUUGGUCUAUUUAAUGGAAUAAAUACUGGCAAUUAGUAAUAUGCCAUGUUUAUAAAAUUUGUAGGUGAUAUUAGGAUGCUGAGGAAGUGUUUUACUUAAAUUUUUACUAUACGAGGAGUCCAGGACAAUUUUAUAAUGCAUUUUUAAGAAAGAAGUAAUAUCAGUAUAUCACUAUUGAAAAUUGAUAUGCAAGUAGUACAUAUCUUGUUACCGUGUAAGAAUUUUUCCUUGUACUUUUAAGAUUUAAAUGAAAUGUCAGGGAGUGGUGUUCAUUACCAAAGAGUCGGAUAAAUAUCCCUUUAAUAUCCAAGGAUGUUUCGUCAUGAUUCUAUUCAAUAAGAUGAUAGGAAACAGCUGACACUAUUAGAUUUUCUUGUGGAUGCAGGGAAACAAUCAACUUCUUUUAGCACUAAGAACUUGUAAGUGGGACCUGAAACGCCCAUUUCUUUGUACUCUGCAGUUUAUUAGCUGUUGCAUUAUUUGGAGUGGCAUUACUUGACUUUUCAGAUUAUAGUAAAGUGUUGCGCACCUUAUAUUAGAUAGAUAGUUUCUGGUCAGUACCAAAGUUUUCAAAAAUGUUCAGACACCUUGAAUGUGUGUUGUACAAGGUGUUCAUUAGGACCCUCAAAACUUCCACUUUGAGUUCCUUUUGUCAAGACUUACGCCUUAAUUUUAAAGUGCAUGGGGCACGCAUAGAGGUGGCUGAGGUUUUCUCCCCUUAAUCCUUUUUUUAAGUCAUGUUUUCCCAACACGUUUUGAGGGUUCCUCCAGAUUGUUUAAAUGCGCCUCAACUCUAAAAAUUAGAAACAAAAGAAUAGAAUAUUGGAGAAAAUUAGAAAAUAAUGAGUGAAGGGAAUGUGCUUAGCAUAGCUUUGUACUCCUACAACAGAAUACUAAAGAAGAGAACUUGCAACUCUUUGAUUGCUAGAGACCUCCAACAUGUAAUGUCACCCCACUUUAUUCUACUUUUUCUUAUUAUUGAUGUCUCUAUUGUGAUGUUUUCUUUCCUCUGGAAUUUCUUUCCUUUUAAGUCAAAGCAAAUGAAGUUCUCAAAUAACUGAUGCAUCUAUUUUUUUGGACUUUUAGCUCUAGUUGUAGAUUAAUGGUCUUAUAAUGUGAUUACUACUCUACUAAUUUGUUAUUGGCUGCUUUAUUAAUCCAUUUUAUGUUUCUAAUAGUAUGUUAGUCUUUUAGCUUUUCUAAACGGUAUUAAUAAUUAUAUUUUGAAAUUUUUAAUUUUUUAUUAUGUGUAAUUUUCUAUUUUUGUAGUUAUUUGAAAUUCUAUUGGUUUAUGUUGAGCUUUAUACUUCAAAGCAGCCGAGGUUCACCCUUUGCCUCAUGCAAAAACACCUCAAUACCACGUAUACAUGCAUGCACCUAUGUUUCUAAGUACUUGAUGUAAUUUUCAGGUUUUAAAUUUUUUCUUGUUUUUUGCUACAGAUGUCUUUGCAUCUUGGUAAUCUGUCAUCUCGCAUUCGUAAAGAUGAAUUGGAACGUGUUUUCCGAAGGUUUGGUAGGUGUACUGUACGGAUAAAAGACAAAUACGGGUUUGUAGUUUAUGAUUACCCUGCAUGUGCUGAAAAAGCUCUGAAAACACUUCGAGGCAAAAGAAUUUGUGGAGAGCCAAUAACCCUAUCGUGGUCAAAUAGGCAGCGUCAAGCCUUGCAGCUAUUUGAUAGAGGUGGUAAAUCAUACAAGGCACCACAAGAAAGGUACUCUGUCAAAGAUAGGGUGGGAUCAAAUGGUAAAUACAAUCACAAUAUGGAAUUCAAGAAAAUAGAUAGUGAAGGUAGAAAGCCUGGUUCUUCUGACCUGGUUGAUGAAGCAAGAAGCUACCCUUCCAACAAUUUGAAUUGUUGUGCUGGGGAAAAAGAUCGUGCUGUUUUUGAUGAUUCUCAUGAAGCUAGCGGGAAGAACCAUAUGGAGGAUGAUAGGUGGGGAGAGCAGGUUUUGGAUCCAUCAAACGAAAAUGGUUUAGAAAAUGGAUUGGAGUUUGACCGUUAUGAACCUUAUUACAGUGAUGACAAAAAGGAGCAGAAUGAACUUCAAGAUGCAUCCUAUUUUGGUGGUUCACCCACUAGAACGAAGUCUCCAGAGAAAACAGGCUUUGGACAAAAUGAUCAUCAUAAAAUUUUGGAUCAUCUCAGCAAUUCAAAAUCUCGAAAAACGUGCUAUGCAUGUGGUAAAGUGGGUCAUGAAAUGCGGAAGUGCCCCUCACAGCUGGAGAGACCCAGAACAAGGUCUCAACUGCCGAGUCAAAGUAGUGAUGCUGCUCCAAUGAGGCAUCAGAAAAACGAUAGGGAGCCAUCGACUUCAAGAAAUAAUCGGAGAUUGCUUAGACGUGGAGGUUCUCCCUCAGCACAGCUUACUUCCAGACAUAGGAAACAAAAGUACAGGGAGAACAAUCGAAAUAAGACAGAUUGUGAAAGUCCAGAUAGACACCGUUCAAAGAAAGCAAGGGUUCUGUUGUCGUCUUCAACCCACUCUGAUUGUACUGCAUCCAGAUUGCAGUCACCUUCAAGAUCAAUAAGCUCAUUCUCUGGGUCUGUUUCCCAUUCCAAGUUCAAAUCAGCAUCAUCCAGAAAAAAUUCCCCGUCCGCUCAUUCGUG
rnacentral:lncRNA from 1 species